rnacentral:rRNA from 1 species
UCCCAAACUGGGAUUAGAUACCCCACUAUGCUCAGCCCUAAACAUAAAUAAUUCACACAACGAAAUUAUCUGCCAGAGAACUACUAGCAACAGCCUAAAACUCAAAGGACUUGGCGGUGCUUUACAUCCCUCUAGAGGAGCCUGUUCUAUAAUCGAUAAACCCCGAUAAACCUCACCACUUCUAGCUAAAUCAGUCUAUAUACCGCCAUCUUCAGCAAAC